rnacentral:misc_RNA from 1 species
AAAUAAUCAGAGGAAGAAACAAAUGCAAGAUUUUCAUUCAACAAAGCGUUUCUACGGCAUCAACAAGACGGCGAUGACGUCUGAUUGCAGAGGUGGAUACCGAUACUUCUACCUGGAAAAACUCAGAAUGUUGCUAAAUGGUGGAUGAUUAAAUUUGCUGCUGGAGAAAUUUGUACUGCAAUAUACAAAUGCACCUCAACUUGGAGUAUGCAUUAGCCCUUGAAGGAUGCUGCAUCUGUGACUACUUACAAUAAUUGGAGUACAUGUAUCAAGUGUGAGAAAACCUAGGAGGAAACUUAC